rnacentral:lncRNA from 1 species
AGAGCUCGCCGGAUGCCAUCAACAGCUGGUACCUUCUGGGCGAGGCUGCGAAGCAGUUUAGAGCAGUGGGGCGGCCGCACGACUUCACCGGUUACAUGUGGAUGUGGGCGGCACUGAAAUCUGGCGACGAGAACUUGUGGAAGGAACACAUAGACCAGUUCAUCGCGACAGAGAGGCAGGCCUACUCCAUGGUCACCAGCAAAGAAGAGGAGCUCACGUACAAGACACGCAUCGACGACAU